rnacentral:rRNA from 1 species
AGACGGAGGGCGCAAGCGUUGUUCGGAAUCACUGGGCUUAAAGGGCGUGUAGGCGGUCUUCCAAGUCGGGUGUGAAAGCCCUCGGCUCAACCGAGGAAUUGCAUUCGAUACUGGUCGACUAGAGUGCGGCAGGGGUAAGUGGAACUCCAGGUGUAGCGGUGAAAUGCGUAGAUAUCUGGAGGAACGCCGGUGGCGAAAGCGACUUACUGGGCCGCAACUGACGCUAAGGCGCGAAAGCUAGGGGAGCGAACGGGAUUAGAAACCCCGGUAGUCC